UUUUAUAGUGUCAGAUAUCACCACAAUGACUUUGAUCACCAUCUUCAUCUGUUCUGUUGCGUACUUCACUCAAUGGGCUGCCGGUGAGAUUCUAAUGACUCAGACACCAGAGACGCUCUCUGUCCAGUUAGGACAGACCGUUUCCAUCAGCUGCACAGCCAGCAGUAGUAUAAGCAGCUAUUUAGCCUGGUACCUGCAGAAACCUGGAGAAGUUCCCAAACUCCUCAUCCACUCAUCAAAUACUCGCCAGCCUGGAGUUCCUGACCGUUUCACUGGGAGUGGAUCUGGGACACAGUACACACUGAAAAUCGGUGGAGUUCAAAUUGAAGAUGCGGGGAUGUACUACUGUCAGGAGGGUUACAGCUCAUACACACGGCAGUAGAGGCUCGAACAAAAACCUCUCACAUCUCUAAGGCGCGUAAUAGACUAAG